UACGUAGGGUGCAAGCGUUGUCCGGAAUUAUUGGGCGUAAAGGGCUCGUAGGCGGUUUGUCGCGUCGGGAGUAAAAACCUACAGCUUAACUGUGGGCUUGCUUUCGAUACGGGCAGACUUGAGGCAUGCAGGGGAGAACGGAAUUCCUGGUGUAGCGGUGAAAUGCGCAGAUAUCAGGAGGAACACCGGUGGCGAAGGCGGCGUCCUGGACCAACACUGACACUGAGGAGCGAAAGCCAGGGGAGCAAACGGG
rnacentral:rRNA from 1 species